CCUUGAUAAAAUACUACAAAAAACAAAUGAAAAAUAAAUUGCUGAUUCUUAUAAACCAGUGCAGUGCUUCUUUUAUUUUGCCCAUGUCAAAUUUCUACCUUAAUAACCUCCUCCUUUUUUCAUCUGCUCUUCUUUCUAGAUUUAUUUAAAGUGUGGUUUCAGGAAAUCUUAAUGUACUUGCCCACUUAUUUUAGGUGUUUCUACCAGACCCACAAAGAAUUAUCCACAUUUUAGUACUUUGCACUUAAUUAUCUGUUGCUAAUUUGGUGACCACCUCAUCCUCCCUUUUUAAGUUCCCAAUUCCUUUAUUAUGAUAAAGAAGAAGCCAAGGACAACAAUUCACAGAACGUCCUUCCCAUGUUUCCAGGUUAAAGUUUGUCAAUGAGAAAAACUCACUUGAGGCUUGGAAAGUGGAAUGAAGAGAUAGCACAUGAUUUCCUGGAGCAGUUGCGGAGACAUCUGUGAGCAGUUGUAAACAAAAGGAUUUCUGUUUCAGUAAUUUAAUGGAGUAAGUUAUUCAAGCCGAAGGCAGACCCAGAAGUAAUAAUUCUACUUAGGCUAAUCUAACACUUGGCAAUAUAAAUUGAUUGUUUCUUUUGUAAUUAGUUGACAGCGUGCGCCCUUGCUUGCUCUUGGCGCCUCCUCGGCCUUGGCGCCCACUCUGGCCACGCUUGAGGAGCCCUUCAGCCCACCGCUGCACUGUGGGAGCCCCUUUCUGGGCUGGCCAAGGCCAGAGCCGGCUCCUUCAGAUUGCAGGGAGGUGUGGAGGGAGAGGGGCGAGCAGGAACUGGGGCUGCGCGUGGUGCUUGCAGGCCAGCACGAGUUCCGGGUGGGCAUGGGCUCAGCGGGCCCCCGACUCGGAGCAGCCGGCCGGGCCCCGCUGGCCCGGGGCAGUGAGGGGCUUAGCACCUGGGGCAGCAGCUGCUAUACUCAAUUUCUUGCCGGGCCUUAGGUGCCUUCCCGCGGGGCAGGGCUCAGGACCUGCAGCCCGCCAUGCCUGAGCCUCCCCCCAUCCGUAGGCUCCUGUGCGGUCCAAGCCUCCCAGACAAGCGCUGCCCCCUGCUCCACACCGGCCCCCAGUCCCAUUGACCACCCAAGGGCUGAGGAGUGCGGGGCAAACGGCGCAGGACUGGCAGGCAGCUCCACCUGUGGCCCUAGUGCCGGAUUCACUGGGUGAAGUCAGCUGGGCUCCUGACUCUGGUGGGGACUUGGAGAACCUUUAUGUCUAGCUAGGGGAUUGUAAAUACGCCAAUCGGCACUCUGUAUCUAGCUCAAGGUUUGUAAACACACCAAUCAGCACCCUGUGUCUAACUCAGGGUUUGUGAAUGCACGAAUGGACACUCUGUAUCUGGUGGGGACUUGGAGAACCUUUGUGUGGACACUAUCUAGCUAAUCUAGUGGGGACGUGGAGAACCUUUGCGUCUAGCUCAGGGAUUGUAAACACACCAAUCAGCACCCUGUCAAAACAGACCACUGGGCUCUCUGUAAAAUGGACCAAUCAGCAGGAUGUGGGUGGGGCCAGAUAAGAAUAAAAUCAGGCUGCCGGAGCCAGCAGUGGCAACCCGCUCGGUCCCCUUCCACACCAUGGAAGUUUUGUUCUUUCGCUGUAUGCAAUAAAUCUUGCUGCUGCUCACUUUUUGGGUCCACGCUGCCUUUAUGAGCUAUAACACUCACCACGAAGGUCUGCAGCUUCACUCCCGAAGCCAGCGAGACCACGAACCCACCGGGAGGAAGGAGCAACUCCAGACGCGCCACCUUAAGAGCUGUAACACUCACCGCGAAGGUCCGCAGCUUCACUCCUGAGCCAGCGAGACCGCGAACCCCACCAAAAGGAAGAAACUCCGAACACAUCUGAAGGUAAGAAGGAACAAACUCCGGACAUGCCGCCUUUAAGAACUGUAAUACUCACUGUGAGUGUCCGUGGUUUCAUUCUUGAAGUCAGUGAGACCAAGAACCCACCAAUUCCGGACACAAUAGGAAUGUCUCAUAAGUAUUAACAUAUUUAAGUUUUGCUUACAUGGGAUAAAGUGGAAUAAACCCAGAUUCUAGUCCAAGCUCUAUUACAGGAGCAAAGUUAUUUAAAAGCCUGAUUCUUUCAGGUCAUGAAAUAGAAUUUUGUAGAGAUCUCUAUUUCUGCAGGUGAUGGUUGGGUAAGAGGCCUGGGUAGGUGUCACACUUCCCCCUAACAAUGGAAUAACCAGAAAAUCUUGUAUGUAGUUAUAUUUCUUAAGAGAUGUAUUAUUUUUUUAAAAACUGAUAAAUAACAAAGAUAGACUUCUAGAUAACUAAUGUUAAAGCAUAAUAGAGAUUACCUACUGGCUUGAAUUUUGAAAAAGAUAAAUCCAAUUUAAUUCUACUUAAUUAAUCUGGUGUUGCCAAUAUUUUAUUUCAUGGAAUAAGAGUUCCAUUAGAGGCUCUGGAAAAACACAGGGAAAGAAUCCUUUGGUCAAGUAAAUCUGGAAAAUGUACACUUACACUUGAAAACUCACAAGGCAUAUUUUAAAGACUUCAGGAAAUAUUUUGUUAAGCUCCCUUUAAUCCAGUACUUUCCAAAUACAUCUGACUACAAAACCCUUUGCAGGUAUGUAACACCUAUUAAUAUGCUGUGGAACUAGUGUUGUUUUUCUUUCUUUUUGACAACACAAAUUUAUUACACAACUGCUGUGCGACAUGUACUGUGAUAGGCCCAGGGAUUAUAAAGGUGAAAAUAUGCACAAACUUUGCCAAUAUCAUGUUUGUAGUCUCAAGGGUAAGUGAGUCUUUUAUCUCUUCUUUAUAUGCCUCUCUACUCUUAUUUUAUUGUUUCUCAAUGUGUGGGAGAAAAUAUAUGAUGGAUAUUUCUAAAUCAUCUGGGGCAUAUUUGUUAGAAUAUACCUGUCUACUCUUCCCACCUCCAGUGUUCUUCUUCCCAAUAUUCAAAUAUACGUUUGGGGGAAAUAACCGUACAACAAAAAUAUUCUUAUUGUGGUUCUAAAACCGAUCUCAUUUUAUAACCAUUGCCCUUGUUGCCAGAACUCCUUAAACCCACCCGUGAUGCCUACAUGUUAAACCAGGUGUUCUAUAUAUUUCUCCCCUAAUUCCUUUGCUUCUUAAACAUCAGCACAUAUAGUCUUUGUUUUAAUCCCUCUUUAAUAGUAGUAAUUAGUGUUCAUGAGUUUUAAAUUAGGCAGAAGAAUCCCUCAUAACUAUUAAAUCGCACUGCCUUUAAACCUAUUUUAAAACACUCUAUUAAGAAAUAUGGAUGCCUACUCUUUGUACAAUGCAUAAUAGAAAAUGUAAAGAAGCUUAAGUCACGGAACCACCUUCCAAAAGGCCUGAGUAGUUUAUGUAUGAACAGUUAGGUAAGAAUGAAAGACAUGCAUUCAAUUCAAUACAAGUAGAAUCUGAGAAUACAGUAAGGAUCACUGAGGAAGCUGUCUCUGGACAACAGUGGUUAAAUUUCAUGCAGUAAAUAGGGUUUCUAAAAUAAAAGUACAAAAUAAAGUCAAAAUAAAAAGUACAAAAUAAAUAAAAGAACAAAAUAAAGCAGAAGAUAAAAAUAGAGAGGUACAUUUAGAAUAAAGCUAUGUUUAUAAUAUUUGACUGGAUUAGAAUGUUGUAGCAGAAAAUAUUAAAAAGGCAAUUUAGUAUGGGGUUGUUGAAGAAGAAGUCAAGAGUGAAAAAGUAGAAUCAAGUUUAAGGCAGAAAAAAGAAACACCGUGAAUUUUACAGUUUUUCUCCUUUAACUAUUAUUUCUACGUAUGAUUGCCAAAUCACUUUGUCUAAAGUUGUAAAAUCCUCAAUAAUGACUAUCUGGGAAAAC
rnacentral:lncRNA from 10 species